rnacentral:rRNA from 1 species
UACGUAGGGGGCGAGCGUUGUCCGGAAUUAUUGGGCGUAAAGAGCGUGUAGGCGGCCAUACAGGUCCGUUGUGAAAACUCGAGGCUCAACCUCGAGACGUCGAUGGAAACCGUAUGGCUAGAGUCCGGAAGAGGAGAGUGGAAUUCCUGGUGUAGCGGUGAAAUGCGCAGAUAUCAGGAAGAACACCCGUGGCGAAGGCGGCUCUCUGGGACGGUACUGACGCUGAGACGCGAAAGCGUGGGGAGCGAACAGG